UGCAGCGCGCCGUGACUGGCGCACGGCUCUUAAAGCGCCGCGAGCUCCUCCCCGAUUGGCCCAGCCGGCACGCGGUGCUGCGCUACUGCGGCGAACGCGGGCGCGGCCCCCGGGGGCGCGGCCUCUGAGGCCGCAGCCUCUGAGGCCGCAGCCGGGCCCGGAGGCGCCGCGCUCCCCCGCGGGCAGGGGCCACGCGCCUCGUCCCGGGGCCCGCUCGGGGCCUGCUGCAGGUGCCUUGCCGGCUCGGGGGGCUCCUGCCGGCCUGCCCGAACCCGCGCUGCCCGCAGGCGCGAAGCGCGGCGCCGUCGCUACCUGGCCAGCGGCUGCCGUGAGCUGUCCCGGGCCGGAGGGCGGCGGGGCUCCCGGUCCCCGGCCAGGCGCAGCAGCGCGCCGUCGUGCAGCUGCCGAGCUCAGGAGUCGAACCAAAUGGAGUAGCUGUGCAGCUGUACUGGUGUUACAUUUCAUCAGCCCUAGUGUGUGUGCACUGCAUCAGCACCACGGCAGUAAUAGGCACCCCUGUGAAGCAUCACAAGCUGACUGGGGCUGA
rnacentral:lncRNA from 1 species